rnacentral:rRNA from 1 species
AGUGAACGCUGGCGGCAUGCCUUACACAUGCAAGUCGAACGGCAGUACGGGGCAACCUGGUGGCGAGUGGCGAACGGGUGAGUAAUGCAUCGGAACGUACCUUUCAGUGGGGGAUAACGUAGCGAAAGUUACGCUAAUACCGCAUAUUCUGUGAGCAGGAAAGCAGGGGAUCGCAAGACCUUGCGCUGAUUGAGCGGCCGAUGUCAGAUUAGCUAGUUGGUGAGGUAAAGGCUCACCAAGGCGACGAUCUGUAGCGGGUCUGAGAGGAUGAUCCGCCACACUGGAACUGGGACACGGUCCAGGCUCCUACGGGAGGCAGCAGUGGGGAAUUUUGGACAAUGGGGGCAACCCUGAUCCAGCCAUGCCGCGUGAGUGAAGAAGGCCUUCGGGUUGUAAAGCUCUUUCGGCCGGGAAGAAAUCGCACGGGCUAAUACCCUGUGUGGAUGACGGUACCGGAAUAAGAAGCACCGGCUAACUACGUGCCAGCAGCCGCCGCCGUAA